rnacentral:rRNA from 1 species
AAAGCGUGCGCAGGCGGUUUUGUAAGACUGUCGUGAAAUCCCCGGGCUCAACCUGGGAAUGGCGAUGGUGACUGCAAGGCUAGAGUUUGGCAGAGGGGGGUAGAAUUCCACGUGUAGCAGUGAAAUGCGUAGAUAUGCGGAGGAACACCGAUGGCGAAGGCAAUCCCCUGGGCCUGUACUGACGCUCAUGCACGAAAGCGUGGGGAGCAAACAGGAUUAGAUACCCCGGU